GCUGCUCUGCCGCCCAGGCCCAUGGCCGCAGCCCUGGCGCUCGUGGCGGGGGUCCUGUCGGGGGCGGUGCUGCCCCUCUGGAGCGCGCUUCCGCAAUAUAAAAAGGUGAGCCGGGGAGCGCGCCCAGCCGGCCGCGACCGCAGGAGAGGGUGGCCCCGCCGCCGGGGCACUGGAGCCCGAAGGCGCCGGGCAGCCUGAAAGGGAGAGAAAAUCACAGACAGGUGCUUCCACCACUCUGAGUGCUACAGUGGCUGCUGCCUCAUGGACUUGGACUCCGGUGGAGCCUUCUGUGCCCCCAGGGCCAGAAUAACCAUGAUCUGCUUGCCCCAGACCAAGGGAGCUACCAACAUCAUCUGCCCUUGCCGGAUGGGCUUGACGUGCAUAUCCAAGGACUUGAUGUGUUCCCGCCGGUGCCAUAUGAUUUAGAGGAAGAUGCAGGCUGGUCACUGCUCCCUUGGGGCCAUAGGCCCUGGUUGCCACCAACUUGCUCCAAAUCCAGCUCCUGAGACAUUAAAGUCACUUCCUGUC